GGGGCCGUGGCUGUGGCUCAGUGGCACAGUGUCUACUUGGCAUGCAAAAGAUCCCAGGUUCAAUCCCCGGCACCUCCA
rnacentral:tRNA from 1 species